rnacentral:rRNA from 1 species
GAUGAACGCUGGCGGCGUGCCUAGCACAUGCAAGUCGAGCGAAGCGAUCUGGGGGAAGUUUUCGGAUGGAAUCCGGAUCGACUGAGCGGCGGACGGGUGAGUAACGCGUGGGUAACCUGCCUCAUACAGGGGGAUAACAGUUAGAAAUGACUGCUAAUACCGCAUAAGCGCACGGUAUCGCAUGAUACAGUGUGAAAAACUCCGGUGGUAUGAGAUGGACCCGCGUCUGAUUAGCUAGUUGGUAAGGUAACGGCUUACCAAGGCGACGAUCAGUAGCCGACCUGAGAGGGUGACCGGCCACAUUGGGACUGAGACACGGCCCAAACUCCUACGGGAGGCAGCAGUGGGGAAUAUUGCACAAUGGGGGAAACCCUGAUGCAGCAACGCCGCGUGAGUGAAGAAGUAUCUCGGUAUGUAAAGCUCUAUCAGCAGGGAAGAAAAUGACGGUACCUGACUAAGAAGCCCCGGCUAACUACGUGCCAGCCGCCGCGGUAACAC